AAUUUAAGCAUAUUAAUAAGCGGAGGAAAAGAAACUAACAAGGAUUCCCUCAGUAACGGCGAGUGAAGCGGGAAGAGCUCAAAUUUGAAAUCUCCGAUGCUUGCAUCGGCGAGUUGUAGUUGCGAGAAGCACUUUCUAGGCGGAUCGACGGUGCCUAAGUUGCUUGGAACGGCACGUCGCAGAGGGUGACAACCCCGUCUGUGGCGCCGCCGGCCGCCGACGAUGUGCUUUCGAAGAGUCGGGUUGUUUGGGAAUGCAGCCCAAAACGGGUGGUAAACUCCAUCUAAAGCUAAAUACUGGCGUGAGACCGAUAGCGAACAAGUACCGUGAGGGAAAGAUGAAAAGAACUUUGAAAAGAGAGUUAAAAAGUACGUGAAACCGUCGAAAGGGAAACGAAUGGACUCAGCAAUGCGCCCUCUGAGAUUCAGCCGGUGGGUGGCGGCGGCGCCGGGUUUGCGGAUCUGAAUGGACCGCGGCCUGGCGCCCGCCUCUCCCCGCCGUCGCACUUCUCUGGGGCGCGCGUCAACGUGGGUUGGGACUGGGUCUGAAAGGCGCCGGGAAGGUAGGUGUGGGCCUUCGGGUCCGUUCUGUUACAGCCCGGUUCUCUCAUGGCUCGGGCCCGACCGAGGAGCGACACGGGGCAUGCCUCCUGUGGCUAGGGUCCCGCCCUUCCGGCCGGCUGUCCAGUGCGGUGGACUGCUUGCAGUGCUCCGCGACGGCUGCCGGUCGUUGGGGUGGUGAUCUCGUACCAUGCCCCUAGGAUGUUGGCGGUCAUAUGGG
rnacentral:rRNA from 1 species